rnacentral:snoRNA from 1 species
CCCCACUCAGGAUCUCACCUGGAGAGUUUCCAGUCCUCUUCCAGUCUCGGCUAUCGGAGGGAGAGUCAAGCAGAGUCCAUUCCAUUCCUAGCUUGGUCAGUGGCUAGGGAGUGGAAGACAAUCUGCUACAAGU